UUUUUUUUUUUUUUUUUGGAAUGUACUUUGAGAAUAACAGCAUUUCAGGACUGGUUUUGUUUAAAGUAUACCCAGCCCCCCUCCUUAUUUUAUUUGAUUUUUGGUUUAAAUAAAAAUGUAGCAAAGCACUCUUUGAAGUAAAAGUACCUGUCUUUUCUUUUUUCUUUUUUUAAAUCAUAGUUUGUUUUACCUGAAAGUUGAGAAAGAAUGCAGUAUAAAUAUAGCUUUUCUCUACACGGGAGCAGGGGGAACAGAACCAAUCCCCAGCUUAGCCACACCCAACAUCAUGGAAAUUACUGUGAACCUGUUGUCUCUUGAGGACAACUAAAACCAAAACGAAAUCCCUAACAUUAUUAAAAUGUUAGGAAACUUUUCAGGUAAUUGCUGUAACUCUGGUAAAAUACAGAAAGAUUACAUUCACUCAUAAUAAAAAUCAAGUGUGCCCACGCCAUCUGCAAAGGGAACUUGCACCAUCUUGGUUUCACUCGCAUUGUUAACAGUGCCCUAAAAGUAUACACCUUUUUCAGGAUAAAACCAUUAGGUAAUAUCUUGAUCAUAUCCUCUGCAUGAUGAACUAUCACUCAAAUUAUUCUGUCAUGGGUUACCUUACUAACACUGACAAAGAGAUAAUAAAUGAUAAUUUUAACAGGGAUAGGAGAAACCUUGCAAACCUUUCAAGUUUCUUUCAUAACUAUUGUUUUAUUAUUGCAUAUUUUUAGAGGUAUUAUCAUCAACCUGAUCCUUUAUAGGCCAAUAUAGUAACAAAUGCUAAUUUAACUGCCCAGCUCAUUUUUAUUGUCAGUCUAGCCUCAGCAAGUAUAAAACUGACAAGACAUUCCUCUAUGAGAGUGACCCUCUUAGUGAGAGAGAAAUCUAUGUACCAUCAGAGGAAAUAAAUCUUAGUAUUCGGUGUGAUAGAGACUAAUUCAUUUCUUUUGAUGAAGUCCCACUCUUUGAGUGACUUUGAAGGGGGAGACAAAAUGUCAAGAAGGAGUCCUGCAGGAACAAGUGCUUAAGAUGGUGUUUAAUACAGCAGGGAGCCAAGAUACAGUAGUAGGACACAGUAAAGAAUGUGGAGUGUGUAGAUACAAUAAAGAAUUCAUUUUAUGAUCUGCCACCUGUUACUUGAAAGAGGAGUAAGUUAGGGAAAUAAAUGACUCAGUUCUUCAUACAUGCAAAGGUAAGUUAGUUAUUACAAAAGUUUUUGCUGUUGUUUGUGCUGAAAGAAAAGCAUAUGCAUUUAAACAUUUUUUAAAAAAUAAAUCACUCAAUAGGCUUAAGAAAAAUACUUUAGUUCAUAGUUCAUUGAUCUGACGUUUUGAUUUAAGAUCAGGGGAUGAAUCCAGGAUGAAAACCAAAGAAAAAAAAAGAAAAAGAAAGAAAAAUAUAGAAGUGAAUCAUUUACCAUGAAAAAGGCAUUUCCAGCCUCAGCUAACCUCAACUAGUUUUUAUUGCAUUAUUUUUGAAAUGCCAAGAAACUGGCUUUGGCCAUAAUACUUGCUGUCCAACAAAAUCACAGCUGUUAAUAUGCAAUUGCUUGCAACAAUUAGCUAAACAGCAUUAUUUGACAAAUUCCCUUGAAAGAGACAUAGAUGCUAUUUAAGUGUCUAGCACACUGAAUCAAGUAACUAUCAGUUAGGCUGGGG
rnacentral:lncRNA from 1 species